UACGUAGGGGGCUAGCGUUGUCCGGAAUCAUUGGGCGUAAAGCGCGUGUAGGCGGUCCGGUAAGUCCGCUGUGAAAGUCGAGGGCUCAACCCUCGAAUGCCGGUGGAUACUGUCGGGCUAGAGUGCGGAAGAGGCGAGUGGAAUUCCUGGUGUAGCGGUGAAAUGCGCAGAUAUCAGGAGGAACACCUAUUGCGAAGGCAGCUCGCUGGGACGCAACUGACGCUGAGACGCGAAAGCGUGGGGAGCGAACAGG
rnacentral:rRNA from 1 species